rnacentral:rRNA from 1 species
ACGGAGGGUGCAAGCGUUAUCCGGAUUUAUUGGGUUUAAAGGGUACGUAGGCGGAAUAAUAAGUCAGUGGUGAAAUCCUGCGGCUCAACCGUAGAACUGCCAUUGAUACUGUUAUUCUUGAAUGUAGUUGAGGUAGGCGGAAUGUGUAAUGUAGCGGUGAAAUGCUUAGAUAUUACACAGAACACCGAUUGCGAAGGCAGCUUACUAAACUAUGAUUGACGCUGAUGUACGAAAGCGUGGGGAGCGAACAGG